ACCCCCGAUGUCUUCUGGAGACCCCGUGAACAGCAUGGAGGCACCAUAAUCAAAGCACGCCCAGGGCAUGGGCAGGGGAGCACGGAGAAGGUGACUCGAGAAGGAGGCUGGAGAAAGUGAGAGAUGUGACCUGGGGCAAAGCGAAGGCAGGGCAUUCCUGGCAGAUGCAAUUGCAAGAGCAGGGCUGUGAAGGGCUGAAAUGGCGCUUGAAGCAAGAUACGUUUUGGAAUUGUGUUAUUUGUGAUUUUCCUUUUUCCCCUCUUCCUCAUAUGAACUGCUCUGGGACUCAGGAGCAGAGAUGAGAUGUGAUAUAGCCUUGAGGAAAAAUGGAUAGUAGGAGGGGAAAAGACAGCACAAAACAAAGUACAGAAGGUUUUAAAUUAUUUUUCCCAAAACAGGCUUCUUGGAAUCAAGGAUGAAGCAGAGCACAGAAGCUUCUCUUCCCGCCCAGGGAGGAGACACAGGAGGGUCACAGGGCCAGGAGCAGCACAGAGCACGGGGAAAAGAGUGCACCUAGCCAAGCACUGUGCUUGAGGCUAUGGAUUCAACAGAGAACGCGCAAGACAUUGACCCAUGUUGUCCAGUGAAGAAGACAGAUAUUGAAGCAUUACAAUGAAAUAUGAUGAAUACGAUGCAGGGGAAGCAUUGCCGGCUGGAGCUCCCUGAAAGGCUGAAAUGUCAGCCUGUCAACGUUUCCUGUGUGCCUGAGCCCUCUCUCCUUGGUGGGACGCGGGGCCAGCGCGGCCUGCUCCGUCAGACAGGGUGGCUGGCUUAAUCCCACCCGCCGCUGGGGGCACCCGGGUCGCUUCACACCAACUUCUGAGCUCCUCAAACUGGGAAUGUCACGCGUGGGCAGGGGCAGCUUCCUUCUCUGAGCACAUUGGAAACAAGUUCCGGUCAUUGGCAUCAGGACUGCCUCGAGGCUUUUCAAAUUCAGACAACGUCUGGUCUCUGCAGAGAAAAAUAACUAAUUCACACUGUGACCUCCCAGAAAGAUCACCGCUUGGUCCUGAAGCACUCGCUUGCCAGCAGGUGUUAAUGCCAGGUCAAAAGAGAGCCCCUGUCUAACGGUCCCCACCUCUGGAACGGAAAAAGCUGAGCUGGGUCAAAGGAGCCUGACUUCCGGGCAGCCCCGGGUAGACUUCUUUCAGGAAUCGGCCUCCUUCUCCACCUCCACUUAACCUCUUUCUUUAGACCCUCGCAGAAAAGCUGGAGUCAGGCAGCAGAGGCUCGGAUGGCUGUUCCUGGGCAGGGUGAGGCCAGAGAGGGAAGGCAGCCCUGCACCGUCUCGGAGACCCUUUCUCAGCCCUUAGCUACCUUCAAGCUCCAGCUGCAGUGGGCUCUCUCCACACCAAGAGAAGACAUCUCUCCAACCUCCUCCCUACAUCUUCUUGAGAACCAGACACCCCUCUCAGAGUUAGGGGUGCGUCUGCCCAUCCUUCUCUCCACAGAUUAUGAUCUCUCUCAGGACACUGCCUUAUGCCCGGAACUCCUGUCCAGGGGAGGCUUUUCAAUAAAUGUUGAGGGAACAAAUAAAUGGGGACCAGCCCCAUCCUCAGCACUACCUAGUCCUGGUCCUACUCUUGUCUCCACAUCACAUUUCUGAACAUCUCUUUCUCUAAUUUUCGACCCUCACCUUGGCCUGUCAGACAAUGUUGAACUUCCUUUCCCCUAGCUUUCUCAGGUGCAGAUUUUUUUUUGCUACCUAGCAUUUACAGAAAUUACAAAUCUUCCUCCUUUCGCAAUUUGGUCUCUGUCUCAGCCGGGAAUGUUGGGCUGCUGCUUUGACCCAUUGUUCUCACAAACUGACAGCCAUCACCAAGGCCAUUGCCCUUGCCCAAGAAGAAAAAUAGGGCAACACCCUUUGUGUUCUUAGACUGAUUAUUCCAGAUUCAUUCAAAGGACAUGAAUUCAAUGACGUCAAGCUCUCCUCUACCCAAGCAAUGGGAAAUGGAGGUUUCCCUGCUUGUGACCCACCUUGCAUGUGACAUGUGCCACCCGCUGCCUCGAGGAUUGAAUCUGGAGCUGCAGAACAUCUCUCCAACAGGAUCACCAUUGCAGAAACUCACUAUCCUUUUCAUGUUGGAUAGAUGUAGGGGGUUGAGUAGCAUCCUUGCCCACCCCAUCCCCAAAGUCAUGUCCUUCCCAGAACCUCAGAAUGUGACCUUAUUUGGAAAUCACGUCAUUACAGAUGGAAUUUCUUAAAUGAGGUCACACUGGAGCAGGGGAGGCCCUCAAUCCACUGUUACUGGUAUCUCAUAAGAAGAUGACAAAAGACAGAGACACACAGGGGGAAUACCAUGUGAUGCUGGAGACAGAGGUUAGAGAGAUGCGUCUAUCAGCCAAGGAACUCCAAGGAUUGCCAGCAAACCCAGAAGCCAGGGGAGAGGCAUGGAACAGACCCUCCCUCAGAUCCUGCAGAAGGAGCCAACCCUGCCAGCAACUUGAUUUCAGUCUUCCAGCCCCCGGAACUGUGAGACAAUCCAUUUCUGUCAUCGGAAGCUCUUGGUUCAUGGUCAUUUGUUAUGGCAGCCCUAGGAAUCUAACACAAUGGAAUAAGGAAUCUUGUAUUUGAGAUCUUUUUCAAAUAUUUUCAUUUUAAAAAAUCUUAACUUUAUUGAAUUUUACUAAAUGGGUCUUUUUAUCCUUAACCUCUAAUUAGUAUAAUUUUUUCGCCUGUCACUUGGAUGUGAAUCUAUCCAUCCUCUCUCACAAUCUCCAGAAUUGGCACACUAAAUAUAUUCCACUCAACAGCAUUGUAAUCCCAGCACUUUGGGAGGCUGAAACAGGAGGAACGCUGGAGCCCAGGAGUGCAAGACCAGUCUGGGCAACAUAGCGAGACCCUAUCUCUACAAAACAAAAACCAAAUAUGAACAGCAUUCAGUAUAAUCUUUUCUCAACUAUAUUCCCCCUGGAUGAGAGUGGUCCCUACGAAUGACCUCGAGACCCUGUUAAAAUGCUGAUUUGGAUUCAGUAGGUCUAGAGUGGGGUGGAAGGUUCUGGCAUUUCUACCAGGCUCUGGGGGGUAUUGAUGUCACUGGUCCAGGGACCCCCUCUCCUUUGAGCAACAAGGAGAUAAACUACUCAAAGUGUUCAGUGAUCUACACUCAUCCCUAUUUGACUUUGGAAAUGUCUUUAAACUGGAACACAAGUAUAUCUUAUGUUUAUGAAGUUAGUGUCAAACAACCUGACAAAGUCACACUGAAACAUCCCACCUGGGGAGGAGCUAUGGAGGCUGUUUCUACAGUCCUGCCCUCACUCAGCAAAGAUUUAUUCAAGAUUUGCUAUGUGUUAGAAACUGUGCUAGGCUGAUGUCUUGCUUGAAAACAAUUUCUCUCUCCUCUCAUCCUAAUAAUGAAUGGUAUAACCUUUCAGACUCACACAGAAAUCACCAACUGAUAGCAGCAGGGUGACUGCUCUCUCCCUGGGAUCUGCUCACAACCCUGCUAGACAAUGUAUUGGCUCCAAAAACACCUGGAGAGCAGGGGUGGAGGAAAGUCACAGAAACUUCCAGCCUUGGCUGAGUUGAAGAAACCAAAGUUCUUGGCUGGGUUAAUAAAGGAAAUGAAGACAGGCAAGGCAAACCUACUGAGAAGUUUUCCUACACUUUGGUAACCCAUUAGAUGCCAACCAGAAGCUGCGUUGAACACCUUGAGUUUGAGAUCUUUUCUGAAGAAAAUUUUCAUGCAGAGGGAAUGGCUACGAGGACAAGGAAUUCGAGGUCAGGAUGGGGGUGAAGAAUUGAAACAAAGCCCUGGUCUGAUGUGUGAUGUGUGUGUGUAAAAUAAAGCCAGGCUGGACUUAGGCUCUGCUAGAACAGAUUGUCACCUGUGUGGAAAGGGAGGGACACUGGGGAGCCGUUUCCACCUGGAAACAGCAAGAGAUUCCUGAAGUGCCACUCAUACCCCUCAUUUUUCAUGUGUACUCAUUGAUUUCUUCACUGAUCAGGCAGCAGCUGUGUGCCAAACACCGUAGGGGAACUAAAAGGGAUUAAUUAAUAAGCAGAGUGGCACUUUCCCAAAAGCGGCCAUCUUGGAGCAAGCUGUCACAUCUCAGCGGGAGGAGGUUCUGUGGAAACCCGGAGGGUGCCAUUUUCACACUCCUGAGCAGAUUCCUACAAGAUUUCCUAGAUCAAAGACAGCUUGGGGUUUAUCUGGCAGAGGGAACAGCAUAGUAAGGUUCAGAGGCACGUUCUGAGCAAGAGCAGGCGUUCUGAGGGGAGAUGCUGUCAGAGGAUAUGUGAAAAGGUUUCAAAGCCAUGCUGUGCCAUUUCUCCUGUGACAUGCUGGUUUCCAAAAUACGUUCUCAUGAGCAACAGUCCCACAGGAGUCUUUGAAAUUCUGUGGUGUAAACGCUAUAUGAUAUCUCUCCUAGGUUUGGUAUGGGAGGUAGCUCACGCCUGUCAUCCCAGCACUUUGAGAGGCCAAGGCGAGAGGACUGCUUGAACUCAGCA